AGAGUUUGAUCAUGGCUCAGAAUCAACGCUGGCGGCGCGCUUAACACAUGCAAGUCGAACGAGAAAGGGGAGCAAUCCCUGAGUAAAGUGGCGUACGGGUGAGUAACACGUGGGUGAUCCACCCUUUGGUGGGGAAUAACCUGGGGAAACCCGGGCUAAUACCGCAUAAUCCCGAGAGGGCAAAGUCGAAAGACGCCGAAGGAGGAGCCCGCGGCCGAUUAGCUAGUUGGCAGGGUAAAAGCCUACCAAGGCUAUGAUCGGUAGCCGGCCUGAGAGGGCACACGGCCACACUGGCACUGAAACACGGGCCAGACUCCUACGGGAGGCAGCAGUGGGGAAUCUUGCACAAUGGGGGAAACCCUGAUGCAGCGACGCCGCGUGAGCGAUGAAGCCCUUCGGGGUGUAAAGCUCUUUCGGCAGGAACGAUAAUGACGGUACCUGAAGAAGAAGCUGCGGCUAACUACGUGCCAGCAGCCGCGGUAAUACGUAGGCAGCAAGCGUUGUUCGGAGUUACUGGGCGUAAAGAGUGUGUAGGCGGUUUUCCAAGUCUGGUGUGAAAUCUCCCGGCUUAACUGGGAGGGUGCGCCGGACACUGGAAGGCUUGAGUGUGGGAGAGGGAAGUGGAAUUCCUGGUGUAGCGGUGGAAUGCGUAGAUAUCAGGAGGAACACCGGCGGUGUAGACGGCUUCCUGGACCACUACUGACGCUGAAACACGAAA
rnacentral:rRNA from 1 species